rnacentral:lncRNA from 1 species
CAAAAGCAGACCGAGUGUUCGGGCUUCAGCGGCACCGGUUUAUUGGGUGACGGACGGACGGACCCAUAGACGGACAGACCCAUAGACGGACAGACGGCUCCACGGAGAGCUCCACGGACGGACAGACGGCCCCACGGACGGCUUUGCGGACAGACGGACCCCCAGGCGACUCCACAGACGGAUGGACGGAUGGCCCCAUGGACGGCUUUGCGGACGGACGGACAGACGGACGGACGGCCCCGGGGCGGCGCCUCAGCGGCGGCGGCCGAAGCGCUGCGGCGUCGCCAUGGUCCAGAACGGGGCGGCCAGAGGGUCCCAGCUGCGGGGGCUGCGCCGGGCCGGGGCACCCGCCCGCCCGAACCUGCACCGCCAACAUGGCCCCGCUGACGCCCGCGGAUGGACGGACGGACGCACGGACGGGGACAGAUGGACGGGGAGGGGCAGGGAUGGAUGGAUGGACAGGGACAGGCGCAGGUGGGAACAGACGGAUGGAUGGGGACAGACAAAUGGACGGGGACGGACUGAGGGGCACGGAUGGACAGACGGAGACAGGGACAGAGGCACAGACGGAUAGGGACAGACAGACAAGGAGGGAUAGAUGGGGACGGAUGGGGAUAUGGGGAUGGGCUGAGGAAUGGAUGGACAGAGGGACAGGGACGGAUGGGGAUGGCUGGGACGGGCAGGUACGCACAUGGGGAUGGGUGGUGACGGGCACACGACGGAUGGGGACAGACGGACGAACAGGGACAAACAGGCACACACAAAUGGACAGGGACGGAUGGGGACAGACCAUGGAUGGACAGACGAACACAGGGACACACGGACAGAGGCUACCGGCUGGGCCACCCACUUGUGCCCGCUGGGGCCACCAGGUCACACAGGUCCCUCCCUGCUCCCAGCUCCCUGCCCACCCCCGGGUGCCCGGUGCCCCCGGACGCCUGGGCCCCCCCGGACGCCUGGGCCCCGAGCGCGCUCACCUCUGCGGCUGGAAGAGGAAGGCCGGGCUGCGGCCGGGACGCUGCAGGGCCCGGAGNNNNNNNNN